rnacentral:rRNA from 1 species
UACAGAGGGUGCAAGCGUUGUCCGGAAUCAUUGGGCGUAAAGAGCGUGUAGGCGGCUUGGUAAGUCCGCUGUGAAAGUCCAGGGCUCAACCCUGGAAUGCCGGUGGAAACUGUCAAGCUUGAGUCCGGAAGAGGCGAGUGGAAUUCCUGGUGUAGCGGUGAAAUGCGCAGAUAUCAGGAGGAACACCAAUGGCGAAGGCAGCUCGCUGGGACGGUACUGACGCUGAGACGCGAAAGCUAGGGGAGCAAACAGG